CAUUUCAGGACUCAGAAAACUGGCCCAUGUCCCAAACCUCAUUGUGUAGGAGUCUCCCGACCGCAGAGUGUGGCUGUGAUGACAAUGGAAGUCCUCUGUGGCACAGACGUCACACUGUAGCAGGAGCUGGCAUUCAUCUCCAUCCUCCAGCAAAGGCAUAGUGUACCUCACUCAGGCUUUCUGCCGGAGAAUAACGAAGGGAACAGCUUGAGGUCUGGACUGUGGCCAACCUUCAACCUUUCUAAAACUGCCAAAGAGCUCACUGUGUUUGCAGAAUUGUGUUGGUGGACACAUAUUUUCUUUAGACUGGAAGACCUCCAGGUGUUUGCUUAAGGAAGCCAUUGAAAUUCAAUGCAAAUUAAGACCAGCUUCCCAGGAGAAGGGACUCAUUUUCCCGGCUCAGGACUUGAGCACACAUUAUUUAGAUGUUCAGUGUCUGUUUAUGUUCUUUCAGACUAAAUACUGUUUCCUUCAUUGGUUUUAUACUAACUUGGAAGCAGUUACUCCUUUUUCUCUUCUGGCUUGAGAAAGUCUACACUACUCUUAUCCCACGACCAAAUUGGUGAAGCAGAUAAUUUUUAACAAUUGGAAAUACACUUGCCUCACAAUGAAAGUCCCACCCACCUUCUCUCUUCCCCCUUAUCUGCCUCCCCUAGACCUCAGAAAUGGGGAGCCCUCCUUCCCUACCAACUGAC